GCCUCAUACAUGCAAGUAGAGCGAUACAGCUGCAGACGGGUGAGUAACACGUGGGAAUCUACCCCUAUCUCAGGGAUAGCCCGCCGAAAGGCGGAUUAAUACCUGAUAGUUCCGUAAGGAUAAAGCUCCGGCGGAUAGGGAUGUGCCUGCGCACCAUCAGCUUGUUGGUAAGGUAAUGGCUUACCAAGGCUAUGACGGUUAGCUGAUCUAAGAGGAUGAUCAGCCACAAUGGGACUGAGACACGGCCCAUACUCCUACGGGAGGCAGCAGUAGGGAAUAUUGCGCAAUGGGCGAAAUGCCUGACGCAGCAAUGCCGCAUGCAGGAUGACGGUUUUCGGAUUGUAAACUGCAAUAGAUAGGGAAAAAAUCUUGAUGGUACCUAUCGAUAGCACCGGCUAACUACGUGCCAGCAGCCGCGGUAAUACGUAGGGUGCAAGCGUUAUUCGGAUUUACUGGGCGUAAAGCGUGCGUAGGUGGUAAUUUAAGUCAUGCAAUAAAUUUUAAGGCUCAACCUUGAAAAUUUGUGUGAAACUGGAUUACUCGAGGAUGUCAGAGACAAGCGGAACACCUGGUGUAGGGGUAAAAUCCGUUGAUAUCAGGUGGAACACCAAUGGCGAAAGCAGCUUGUUGGGGCAUUCCUGACACUAAGGCACGAAAGCGUGGGUAGCAAACGGGAUUAGAUACCCCGGUAGUCCACGCCGUAAACUAUGCUGACUAGAUAUUGGAAGUUUCGACCCUUUCAGUAUCGUAGCUAACGCGUUAAGUCAGCCGCCUGGGGAGUACGGUCGCAAGACUAAAACUCAAAGGAAUUGACG
rnacentral:rRNA from 1 species